rfam:Sus scrofa chromosome 15.
GUCUACAGCCAUACCACUCUGAACAUGCCUGAUCUUAUCUGAUCUUGGAAGCUAAGCAGGGUUGGGCCUGGUUAGUACAUGGAUGGGAGAUAUGCAAUUAGCAAGGAUGCCUUACCAU